rfam:Oryza sativa Japonica Group DNA, chromosome 12, cultivar: Nipponbare, complete sequence.
AAUAAAUGCAGUUUUACACUGUUUAUAUCCAACGUUUGACCAUUUGUCUUAUUUGAAAAUUUCUUGUGAUUAGUAUUUUUAUUGUUAUUAGAUGAUAAAACAUAAUUAGUACUUUAUGUGUGACUAUUUUUUUAAUUUUUUCAUAAUUUUUUCGAAUAAGAUGGACGGUCAAACAUGGGGCAUAGAUACUCACAGCUAAACUUAUU